CAAACGGCUCUUUUUAGAGCCACCGAUUCAGUUUUUAAGAACACCU
rfam:Anopheles gambiae str. PEST chromosome 3R, whole genome shotgun sequence.